rfam:Deltaproteobacteria bacterium RBG_16_48_10 RBG_16_scaffold_78858, whole genome shotgun sequence.
GUCAUCGUGAGGUGGGGUCUGGAGGAAGCCCAAUCCAAACAUGCGGGGCGACGAACAGGAACCAGAUAUGAGGUGUGGUACACCCGGAAUGAGCUGGCACGUGACAGCGAAGUUCUCCAUCCGCAGGGGUGUGCUUUAUAAAUCUGGCGCUUAUGCAUGGAAAGUCUUGUGU